GGCUCAGGAUGAACGCUGGCGGCGUGCUUAAGACAUGCAAGUCGAACGAAGGAAUUGUAGCAAUACGGUUCCUUAGUGGCGAAUGGGUGCGUAACACGUAGGUGACCUGCCUUGAAGUGUGGAAUAACAGUCCGAAAGGACUGCUAAUACCGCAUGUGGUUGUGGAGGUUAGAGGCUCCACAUCUAAAGUCGCAAGACGCUUCAAGAGGGGCCUGCGGCCCAUCAGCUAGUUGGUGAGGUAAUGGCUCACCAAGGCGACGACGGGUAGGGGACCUGAGAGGGUGGCCCCCCACAUUGGCACUGACACACGGGCCAAACUCCUACGGGAGGCAGCAGUCGGGAAUAUUGCUCAAUGGGCGAAAGCCUGAAGCAGCAACGCCGCGUGUACGAUGAAGGCCUUCGGGUUGUAAAGUACUUUUCGAGAGGAUGAGGAAGGACAGUACUCUCGGAAUAAGCCACGGCAAACUACGUGCCAGCAGCCGCGGUAAAACGUAGGUGGCGAGCGUUAUCCGGAUUUACUGGGCGUAAAGCGCGUGCAGGUGGUUUGGCAAGUCGGGCAUUAAAUCUCUGGGCUUAACCCAGAGGCGCUGUCCGAUACUGCUAGGCUUGAGGACGGUAGAGGGCGAUGGAAUUCCGCGUGUAGUGGUGAAAUGCGUAGAUAUGCGGAGGAACACCAGUGGCGAAAGCGGUCGCCUGGACCGAACCUGACACUAAAGCGCGAAAGCUAGGGUAGCGAACGGGAUUAGAAACCCCGGUAGUCCUAGCCGUAAACGAUGUUGACUAGGUGUCGAGGGAUUAACCUCCUUCGGUGCCGGAGCAAACGCGUUAAGUCAACCGCCUGGGGACUACGGCCG
rnacentral:rRNA from 1 species